rnacentral:lncRNA from 1 species
GAAUCCAGAGAGUGAGUUUUCAUCAGAAACUGCAGUGACAGGACCAGGGAAAUGGGUACAGAGUGAAAGAGGAAAAAUUUAGGCUGGGUGUAGGAAGGAAUUCUUUGUGAAGGUUGUGAAGCACCUGCACAAGUUUCCCAGCUGAGGCUGCCCCAUCCCUGGAAGUGUCCCAGGCCAGGCUGGAUGGGGCUUGGAGCAACCUGGGGCAGUGGAAGGUGUCCAUGCCCAUGGCAGGGGAUGGCACUGGAUGAGACUUAAGGUCCUUUCCAAUGCAAAUCAUUCAUGGGUGAAAAUACAAACUAUUAGACUGCGUGUUUUUCAGUUGAAUUAGUGACUGUGCAAGUAUCUAACACCAAAUGAUGAGUUCACUGUAAUUAUGGGGUAAUCACAGAAUCACUGAGGCUGGAAAAGAGCUCCAAGAUCAUCAUGCUCCAGCUGUGCUUGAUCCCCACCUUGUCACCCAACCCAGAGCACUCAGUGCCAUGUCCCAUCGUUCCUGGGACACCUCCAGGGAUCGGGACUCCCAACACCUCCCUAGGCAGCCCCUCCCAAGGCCUGAAUGUCCUUUCUGUGAUGAAAUUGCUCCUAAAUUAGACAAGACAUGCCUACACCCACACCUCACACAGCACUGGGCUCUUCAGGACCCCAAACACAGCACCAGGCUCCCCGGGACCCCUCACAAAGCACCAGGAUCCACAAGACCCCGAACACAGCACCAGGCUCCCUGGGACCCCAAACACAGCACCAGGCUCCAUGAGACCCCCAAAUACAGCACUGGGCUCUUCAGGACCCUUCACACAGCACCAGGCUCCCUGGGAUCNUGGGACCCCAAACACAGCACCAGGCUCCAUGAGACCCCCAAAUACAGCACUGGGCUCUUCAGGACCCUUCACACAGCACCAGGCUCCCUGGGAUCUUCAAACACAGCACCAGGCUCCUCAGGACCCCAAACACAGCACUGGGCUCCCCAGGACCCCUCACACAGCACCAGGCUCCAUGAGACCCCAACAUACAGCACCAGGCUCCUCAGGACCUUCAAACACAGCACCAGGCUCCCUGGGACCCCAAACACAGCAGCAGGCUCUUCAGGACCCCCAAACACAGCACCAGGCUCCCUGGGAUCUUCAAACACAGCACCAGGCUCCCCUGGACCCCAAACACAGCACUGGUCUCCUCAGGACCCCCAAACACAGAACUGGGCUCCCCUGGACCCCAAACACAGCACCAGGCUCCAUGAGACCCCCAAAUACAGCACUAGGCUCCCUGGGACCCCCAAACAAAGCACCAGGCUCCCCGCGACCCUAAACACAGCACCAGGCUCCCCAGGACCUUCAAACACAGCACCAGGCUCCCUGGGACCCCAAACACAGCACCAGGCUCCCCGCGACCCCCAAACAAAGCACCAGGCUCCCCGGGACCCCCAAACACAGCACCGGGCUCCUUGGGACCCCAAACACAGCACCA